rnacentral:lncRNA from 1 species
GGUCUUCAUGGGUCAAAAUUGUAAAAUAUCCAAAAAAAUAUUACAUGGGAACUGCAAGAGGUAAAAAAAAAAUUUAAUAGCUUUCUUUGUGCAAUGUAGCAAGAGUAGUGGUCGGCACACCUUAGUUCUCGAUCCAAGCAUAUAUUUUUUUUUUGAGCAACGAAUAGAGGAGGAAAGAUUCUUCCACUAAUUUUUAUUAAUUAUGUAUUAAAAUAUUAUAUUUAUAAUGACGAGAGUUGGUAGGAGACCAA